rfam:Brachypodium distachyon strain Bd21 chromosome 2, whole genome shotgun sequence.
UUACAUACCUGGACGGGGUCUAUGUGCGAUCAAGAAGACUCAUGGCCUAGAUUAGCAGCCUCCAUUGCACUUGGGUGGACAGCUAGCCUACCAUCUCCCCGAGCGGGAGAAUGGACGUCGUAAUUUGUGUUAGGGGGUACGCGUCCGCACGCCCCAU